AGUUACAGAGAGAAGUAGAGACGGAGAGAGAGGUCUUCCAUCCACUGGUUCACUCCCCAGAUGUCCGGAGCUGCGCUGAUCCGAAGCCAGGAGCCAGGAGCUUCUUUCGGGUCUCUCACGUAGGCACCGCUCAGGCCAGGCUAGAUCUUCUUGGAAGAUAUACCCAUGAAACCAGUUGAUUUCUUCCAUGGAAGCAGAUUACAAAACUUCCUUGGCUGUGGUGACAUAUGAAUCCUUGGUAUGCUGCUACCAGUUUCUAUGUUGAAAAGUUUUUAAAUCUUCAGCCUAAGGGGUAGUACUUCAGCUGCCUUGAGUCACGCACCACCUUGGCUUCAUUGGAAACGCCCCCGACCAGCAAUGGAAAAGAAAGGGUACAUACUGCAGUUUCAAUUGUUGUGGGACUCAGGUUUUCCCUCAGCACUGCAUAUACACUUGGAGACAUGGGGAGAAGGUCCGAUGGGGACUGUGGCUCAGUCGAAUCACUUCGGCUUCAAGAGACAACACAAGCAAAUGAUGGCUCAAGUACUUGAGUCCCUGCCACCCAUACGGGAGACCGAGGAAGAGUUCCUGCCUCCUGGAUUCAGCCUGGCCCAGCUCUGGUUGUUGCGGCCAUUGGAGAAGUGAACCCGCAGAUGGAAGAUCUGUCUC